rnacentral:rRNA from 1 species
UGGGGGCUCUCCCAUAUGGUCGACCUGCAGGCGGCCGCGAAUUCACUAGUGAUUAGAGUUUGAGCAUGGCUCAGAAUGAACGUUGGCUGCGUGGAUUAGGCAUGCAAGUCGUUCGUCCCCCAAGGCGCGAGGCGCAAGGGUGAGUAAGGCGACGGUAACCAACCCCAUGGCCGGGCAUAGCCGCGGGAAACUGCGGGUAAUUCCCGGCGAAGUGUGCGUCCGGCAUCGGACAGACACUAAAGGUGCGAUUCCGCCAUGGGACGGGCCGUCGUGGUAUCAGGUAGUUGGCGGGGUGACGGCCCACCAAGCCAUUGACGCCUACCGGGCGUGCGAGCGUGGCCCGGCACACUGGGACUGAGACACUGCCCAGACACCUACGGGUGGCUGCAGUCGAGAAUCUUCGGCAAUGGGCGCAAGCCUGACCGAGCGACGCCGCGUGGAGGACGAAGGCCUUCGGGUUGUAAACUCCUGUCGAGGGGGAACAAGGGGCGGUGCAGAGCCGUCCUUGAGUGAACCCUGGAGGAAGCACGGGCUAAGUUCGUGCCAACAGCCGCGGUAAUACGAAUCGAAUUCCCGCGGCCGCCAUUGCGCCCGGGAGCAUGCGAC